rnacentral:rRNA from 1 species
CCUACGGGAGGCAGCAGUGGGGAAUAUUGCACAAUGGGGGAAACCCUGAUGCAGCGACGCCGCGUGAGUGAAGAAGUAUUUCGGUAUGUAAAGCUCUAUCAGCAGGGAAGAAACACUGACCUUACGGUCAGCAGACGGUACCUGAGUAAGAAGCCACGGCUAACUACGUGCCAGCAGCCGCGGUAAUACGUAGGGGGCAAACGUUAUCCGGAUUUACUGGGUGUUAAGGGAGCGUAGACGGUGCGCCAAGUCUGGAGGGAAAGGCCGCGGUUUAACGGCGGAACUGGUUUUGAAACUGGCGAACUAGAGUGCGGGAGGGGUAAGCGGAAUUCCUAGUGUAGCGGUGAAAUGCGUAGAUAUUAGGAGGAACACCGGUGGCGAAGGCGGCUUACUGGACCGUAACUGACGUUGAGGCUCGAAAGCGUGGGGAGCAAACAGGAUUAGAUACCCGUGUAGUC